rnacentral:lncRNA from 1 species
AAAAAAAAAAAAAGAGUUGUAUUUGUCCUUAGUAAUGGAAAUGUUUUUAUGCUAUGUCUUUGUGACUUCUGUAACUAUUAAGUGUCCAUUCCUGUUUUUACUGCAACAAAUGCAACCAAAAUUUGUGGUUCAUUUAUAGCUUACCUGUGAUUUUAUCUUAUUUUUUCCACCCCAAUUUUAUAAUAUCAUUUUAACCUCGUGUGUGUCUAUUAAAUAAGCUGUCUUAAAUUCUUUUUAGGAGAAUCUAUGAUAAAACAUAAUCAUAAUUUAAAGGCUGCAUUAUUAAUUUCCUGUGUAAGAGACUCUAAUGUUGUAUUAAGUGUUGCCUUUGCCAUCUAUGUCCAACAUUAAACCUAACUUCUCCAUCGUCUGCAGGAAUGUUUACAUUCCUGUUCACAAGCAAUUGUGAUCUAAGAGAUAUCAGUUAUAGAUAUGAAUCUACAAGUAUUGGAGUCUGCCUGUUGAGGUUCCAUUGAGUGUAAAUUCAAUCCUGUGGAUCUGGAAAAGAUUAUGGGAUAUAAACAGAUGGAACCAAGGGACAGAAGCCUGGGAAAAGUGAUCAGGCCUGGAGAUGCACAAGCAAGAUUUUGGAGUUUACACCAAAGUGAGAAUUAAUGAUUAAAUUAUGAACUUGGAGAGAAAAAUGAGAUUCUGAAGUUUGGGAUGGAGGAAAAUGGUAGAAAAGGAUCAGAGAGAGAGCCUGGGAAGAUGACAGUUUUUUUGAAGGCAGAAGUGGCAUCUCUUCUGAAAGAAAAGAUAGGAAUGAAUGAAGAGCUACCUUGCCAUGAAGAUUCAUUACCUUUUCUUUGCUCUUUUCUUCCUUGGCCAGCUGUCUACCUCAGGAACUGAAGAUGCUUAUGAAGUCAUUAGUAUCAUGGACUGUAAAAAUCAAACACUGUGUAAUUCUCAGAAUACAACUAGACACUGCUCUCAUGGGAAGGAGAUUGAACUAUGUGUCUUGCGUCUUGGAAAAAAUGCAAAGCGACUCACUAACCAUGAAGAAACAGCAAAUUAGGAAGACAGGAUGAUCAAUUUCCUUGUCUUAUUAAAAAAUAAAGUCUGCUUUCUUUUCUCUCUC